rnacentral:rRNA from 1 species
UUGUCCGGAAUUACUGGGUGUAAAGGGAGCGUAGGCGGGACGGUAAGUCAGGUGUGAAAUAUACGUGCUCAACAUGUAGACUGCACUUGAAACUGCUGUUCUUGAGUGAAGUAGAGGUAAGCGGAAUUCCUAGUGUAGCGGUGAAAUGCGUAGAUAUUAGGAGGAACAUCGGUGGCGAAGGCGGCUUACUGGGCUUUUACUGACGCUGAGGCUCGAAAGCGUGGGAAGCAAACAGGAUUAGAUACCCUGGUAGUCCACGCUGUAAACGAUGAUUACUAGGUGUGGGGGGACUGACCCCUUCCGUGCCGCAGUUAACACAAUAAGUAAUCCACCUGGGGAAUACGACCGCAAGGUUGAAACUCAA